AAAAUAAUUACUCUGAGAUUAGUUGAGUUGUUUAGAGUAUGGUGCUAAUAACACCAAGGUUGUGGGUUCAAGCCCCAUUUACUUAA
rfam:Taeniopygia guttata chromosome 2, whole genome shotgun sequence.